AUGUUCUAAAGUGUCUGCCCUCGCCGACGUGACCCGAAAGGGUCG
rnacentral:misc_RNA from 1 species